CAUCUUUCUCUCAAUCAAUUUCAGAUAAUAAUCCCCCCCUCUUAACUGACCUCAACGCCAUGGCUCGACGAUCAGUAGUGAUCCUCCGACCUCCACCACCUCCUAACAAAGCCCCGAUAGGUCACCUGCAUGCCUUGACCCGGCGAUAGAGCUCCACGUGUGGUAUGAUCUCUGGUGACGGAAUCGAAUCGCUUGUCACGAACGCCAUCACGCCUCUUGAAUUCUUGCUCCGACGACGCAAAGGCAAUCUUCACUGCUAUGAUUGUCAAAGGCAAGCUCGGGCGAGCAUAAAUGGCUAUAGAUCGGGCGAGCUCGGGGCUCCAAUACCCUGAGCGGUUCUACGUGGCGGCCUCCUACGCCAGUUUCGACGGAUCUCCUCACUCCUCCUCUAAAGCCGUUCGCGCCAAGUUCAACUCUGAGUCCGCUCUCAUCCUCUACGCUCUCUAUAAGCAGUUUACAUGGUUGGUCAAGGAUCGGCUCAAGUGCCAAGGGAAAAUGGAUUUUUCCUAAAAGGUCAAGGAUUGGCUCACUUGUGAGAUGGUAUAUAUCAGAAAUUUCUGGAGCUGAAACCAAGAAUGCCUCGUGGAAUUUUUUGUAUAAAUUGUAUGAUGCACAAGUUGUUCUUUAUCAUUCAGGAGUACAACAAGAUGUUGAAGCCAAGCCAUGUGUCCCAAUAGUUUAUUAAUAGAUAAAAUGUCGUUUUUCUUUACUGACUAUAGAGCUCAAUUUUGCAUCUGGGUUUCUGUUUACUUUUCUCUACUUAUCGUGCUUGCUUUUCAUGGCAAAUGUAUUCUCCAUAGAGCAAUGCUUGCUCGCACAGCUAGUCUUUCUUAUUUAAUUAUUUUAUGAUAGUUAUGCGACUGUCAAAAUACAUGACUUUGACCUUGGAUCAUGCUCAUUUGAUCAGUUUGUAAUAGAAAUAUCAGCUAA